rnacentral:rRNA from 1 species
GUCCCAGACUCCUACGGGAGGCAGCAGUGGGGAAUAUUGCACAAUGGGGGAAACCCUGAUGCAGCGACGCCGCGUGAAGGACGAAGGAUUUCGGUACGUAAACUUCUAUCAGCAGGGAAGAAAAUGACGGUACCUGACCAAGAAGCCCCGGCUAACUACGUGCCAGCAGCCGCGGCAAUACGUAGGGGGCAAGCGUUAUCCGGAUUUACUGGGUGUAAAGGGAGCGUAGACGGCCAUGCAAGUCUGAUGUGAAAACCCGGGGCUCAACCCCGGGACUGCAGUGGAAACUGUGCGGCUGGAGUGUCGGAGAGGCAAGUGGAAUUCCUAGUGUAGCGGUGAAAUGCGUAGAUAUUAGGAGGAACACCAGUGGCGAAGGCGGCCUGCUGGACAGUAACUGACGUUGAGGCUCGAAAGCGUGGGGAGCAAACAGGAUUAGAUACCCCGGUACU